CAGUGGUCGGCAUACAGUGUGCGAGGACCCUGAGAAGGGAUAUGUCUUUGUUGAUAGGGACGGAAAGCAUUUCAGGCAUAUUCUGAAUUGGUUGAGAGAUGGUGUGGUUCCCACACUUACUGAUGCUGAAUAUUCAGAGCUCAUGAGGGAGGCAGAAUACUAUCCGCUCCUUGGGCUCAUUGAGGGAAUUAAUUCAGUUUUGACUAAGAGGAAGGAAAGUGAUGAACUAGAUACUGAAUUGACACGGACAGAUAUCAUCAAGUGUAUACAAUCUGAAAGAGUCCGAUUUCGAGGGGUUAAUCUUUCUGGCCUUGAUCUUUCUAAACUGGACCUUUCAUUUGUUGACUUCAGCUUUGCAUGUCUUAAAAAUGUGUUCUUCUCACGGGCCAACCUUCAGUGUGCAAAAUUCCGGGAUGUGGAUGCUGAGGAUUCCAUAUUUCAUAAUGCAACAUUGCGAGAAUGUGAAUUUACUGGUGCAAAUCUUCGUGGAGCUUUAUUAGCUGGUGC
rnacentral:misc_RNA from 1 species